UGUGGCUCUCCCUGUGAAGAGAUGCUAGAUUCCAUCUUCACAGGUCCAGGCACAGA
rnacentral:pre_miRNA from 1 species